rnacentral:rRNA from 1 species
GAUGAACGCUGGCGGCGUGCCUAAUACAUGCAAGUCGAGCGAACAGACGAGGAGCUUGCUCCUCUGACGUUAGCGGCGGGCGGGUGAGUAACACGUGGAUAACCUACCUCUAAGACUGGGAUAACUUCGGGAAACCGGAGCUAAUACCGGAUAAUAUAUUGAACCGCAUGGUUCAAUAGUGAAAGACGGUUUUGCUGUCACUUAUAGAUGGAUCCGCGCCGCAUUAGCUAGUUGGUAAGGUAACGGCUUACCAAGGCAACGAUGCGUAGCCGACCUGAGAGGGUGAUCGGCCACACUGGAACUGAGACACGGUCCAGACUCCUACGGGAGGCAGCAGUAGGGAAUCUUCCGCAAUGGGCGAAAGCCUGACGGAGCAACGCCGCGUGAGUGAUGAAGGUCUUCGGAUCGUAAAACUCUGUUAUUAGGGAAGAACAAAUGUGUAAGUAACUAUGCACGUCUUGACGGUACCUAAUCAGAAAGCCACGGCUAACUACGUG